CUUAGUGGUGAUGACGCAGAGGAAACACCCGUACCCAUACCGAACACGGCAGUUAAGCUCUGUAGUGCCGAAAAUACUUGGUGGGCGACCGCCCGGGAACAUAGGAAACCGCUAAGA
rnacentral:rRNA from 1 species